ensembl:lncRNA
CUUUUCCCAAUGCUUAUCAGGUCAGAAAGAAUUUACUUCAAAUAAAAGAAGGAGUGAAAGAGUGAAUGCUUAAAAUGAGAAAUACUUUGUAUAUUUUUAGUGAAUGAGGGAAAUGUUACGCAACAAUUUCAGUAAAACAUCUGUUUGACCCGGUAGACUUCCCAUCUGAGAUCAUGACAAAAACAGAAAGUUGUAUCACAUGCUGGCUAAGAGUGAUCUGUUAACAGUUUGAGAUGUCACAAAAUGAGGAAACCAGGUAAAUCAGACUUGGUGAGCAUAAGAGACGUCUUUAAAAACAAACAGAGCUGCAGCUUUAUGGACCUCUUUGCUGCCUGGAACACAACUCACUAAGGAAAAUCCGGUCCUGUUCGCGCCAGAGGAACAUAAACACCCCCUGCAAACAGCACCAGUCCUAAGCCUGUUUUUGAUCAGUACCAUUAUUAUACCACCUGCAAACAUUUACAGGAGCUGCAACCGCUCAUGCUCUUCCAUUCAAUCCCUGUGGGUAUUGGGCAGGUUUAUGGGUGUGACAAUGCAUAGAUCUUCUCACCCAUAACAUUUGCACAUGCAACUAUUGGAUCAGCAGUUGGUAUGGUGUCCAUUAAGAGACCACAAGUGUAUUUGAAUAUUUAAUAAUAAAUAUCACACAUAAUAUGUUAGAUUCACAAUCAU